GGCUGGGUCCCGUACAACGGCGGCUUGUGAACCCCGUCAGGUCAAGAAGGAAGCAGCGGCAGCAAUAUUCCGCCGUGUGUUGCGGUAAACCUGGCUACC
rnacentral:SRP_RNA from 1 species